rnacentral:rRNA from 1 species
GACGAACGUUGGCGGCGUGCCUAAUACAUGCAAGUCAACUGAAAUACCGGUAGCAAUACUGGUAUGGAGGUGGCGCACGGGUGAGUAACACGUAGGUAAUCUGCCUUCAGGUCUGACAUAACCCAUCGAAAGGUGAGCUAAUAUCAGAUGAUGCAGCGGCUUGACAUCAAGACAGUUGUUAAAGCUUCGGCGCCUGAAGAUGAGCCUGCGUCUGAUUAGCUAGUUGGCGGGGUAACGGCCCACCAAGGCUGCGAUCAGUAGCUGGUCUGAGAGGAUGAUCAGUCACACUGGAACUGAGACACGGUCCGGACUCCUACGGGAGGCAGCAGUAAGGAAUAUUGCUCAAUGGCCGAAAGGCUGAAGCAGCAACGCCGCGUGAGGGAUGAAGGGCUUUUGCUUUGUAAACCUCUGUAGCGAGAGACAAAACUCCCAUUUUAUGGGACAUGAUGGUAUCU